UGCAGUCGAGCGGAUGAGGGAGCUUGCUCCUGGAUUCAGCGGCGGACGGGUGAGUAAUGCCUAGGAAUCUGCCUGGUAGUGGGGGAUAACGUCCGGAAACGGGCGCUAAUACCGCAUACGUCCUGAGGGAGAAAGUGGGGGAUCUUCGGACCUCACGCUAUCAGAUGAGCCUAGGUCGGAUUAGCUAGUUGGUGGGGUAAAGGCCUACCAAGGCGACGAUCCGUAACUGGUCUGAGAGGAUGAUCAGUCACACUGGAACUGAGACACGGUCCAGACUCCUACGGGAGGCAGCAGUGGGGAAUAUUGGACAAUGGGCGAAAGCCUGAUCCAGCCAUGCCGCGUGUGUGAAGAAGGUCUUCGGAUUGUAAAGCACUUUAAGUUGGGAGGAAGGGCAGUAAGUUAAUACCUUGCUGUUUUGACGUUACCAACAGAAUAAGCACCGGCUAACUUCGUGCCAGCAGCCGCGGUAAUACGAAGGGUGCAAGCGUUAAUCGGAUUUACUGGGCGUAAAGCGCGCGUAGGUGGUUCAGCAAGUUGGAUGUGAAAUCCCCGGGCUCAACCUGGGAACUGCAUCCAAAACUACUGAGCUAGAGUACGGUAGAGGGUGGUGGAAUUUCCUGUGUAGCG
rnacentral:rRNA from 1 species